rnacentral:rRNA from 1 species
GACGAACGCUGGCGGCGUGCUUAACACAUGCAAGUCGAACGGUGAAGCGCCUUCCUUUUUGGUGGGUGUGGAUGAGUGGCGAACGGGUGAGUAACACGUGAGUAACCUGCCCCCUUCUUCUGGAUAACCGCAUGAAAGUGUGGCUAAUACGGGAUAUUCUGGGUCUGUCGCAUGAUGGGUCUGGGAAAGAUAUUGUUUCGGUGGGGGAUGGGCUCGCGGCCUAUCAGCUUGUUGGUGGGGUGAUGGCCUACCGAGGCGGUGACGGGUAGCCGGCCUGGGAGGGUGGACGGUCUCAUCGGGACUGAGACUCGGCCCAGCCUCCUACGGGAGGCAGCCGUGGGGAAUACUGCACAAUGGGCGCAAGCCUGAUGCAGCGACGCCGCGUGAGGGAUGGAGGCCUUCGGGUUGUGAACCUCUUUCGCCAGUGAAGCAGGCCUGCCUCGUUUGUGGGUGGGUUGACGGUAGCUGGAUAAGAAGCGCCGGCUAACUACGUG